rnacentral:rRNA from 1 species
UGGCCAGACUCCUACGGGAGGCAGCAGUGGGGAAUAUUGCACAAUGGGGGGAACCCUGAUGCAGCGACGCCGCGUGGGUGAAGGAGCACCUCGGUGCGUAAAGCCCUAUCGGCAGGGAAGAAACAGACGGUACCUGACUAAGAAGCCCCGGCUAACUACGUGCCAGCAGCCGCGGUAAUACGUAGGGGGCAAGCGUUAUCCGGAUUUACUGGGUGUAAAGGGAGCGUAGACGGCAGCGCAAGUCUGAAGUGAAAUGCCAGGGCUUAACCCUGGAACUGCUUUGGAAACUGUGCAGCUAGAGUGCAGGAGAGGUAAGUGGAAUUUCUAGUGUAGCGGUGAAAUGCGUAGAUAUUAGGAGGAACACCAGUGGCGAAGGCGGCUUACUGGACUGUAACUGACGUUGAGGCUCGAAAGCGUGGGGAGCAAACAGGAUUAGAUACCCUAGUAAA